CAACCUGCCGUCUACUCUUGGCCAGCCUUCUGAAAGGAAGAUUAAUCCAGGAUGGCAUCAUGAGUUCACAUGUCCGCAUGAUUAAAGGUAUUUUCCGGUAGACGAUGGGGAUGCGUUCCAUUAGAUAGUAGGCGGGGUAACGGCCCACCUAGUCAACGAUGGAUAGGGGUUCUGAGAGGAAGGUCCCCCACAUUGGAACUGAGACACGGUCCAAACUCCUACGGGAGGCAGCAGUGAGGAAUAUUGGUCAAUGGGCGAUGGCCUGAACCAGCCAAGUAGCGUGAAGGAUGACUGCCCUAUGGGUUGUAAACUUCUUUUAUAAAGGAAUAAAGUCGGGUAUGCAUACCCGUUUGCAUGUACUUUAUGAAUAAGGAUCGGCUAACUCCGUGCCAGCAGCCGCGGUAAUACGGAGGAUCCGAGCGUUAUCCGGAUUUAUUGGGUUUAAAGGGAGCGUAGAUGGAUGUUUAAGUCAGUUGUGAAAGUUUGCGGCUCAACCGUAAAAUUGCAGUUGAUACUGGAUGUCUUGAGUGCAGUUGAGGCAGGCGGAUUUCGUGGUGUAGCGGUGAAAUGCUUAGAUAUCACGAAGAACUCCGAUUG
rnacentral:rRNA from 1 species